rnacentral:rRNA from 3 species
GGUAACAUCAAAUCGUACCCCAAACCGACACAGGUGGUCAGGUAGAGAAUACCAAGGCGCUUGAGAGAACUCGGGUGAAGGAACUAGGCAAAAUGGUGCCGUAACUUCGGGAGAAGGCACGCUGACACGUAGGUGAAGUGAUUUACUCAUGGAGCUGAAGUCAGUCGAAGAUACCAGCUGGCUGCAACUGUUUAUUAAAAACACAGCACUGUGCAAACACGAAAGUGGACGUAUACGGUGUGACGCCUGCCCGGUGCCGGAAGGUUAAUUGAUGGGG